rnacentral:misc_RNA from 1 species
CAAGCGAGUCGAACCAAUGCUACGACAAACAAACUUUUAUCAGAUCCUAAACAAGACACGUUUCUCUUCCAUUUUGAAACAUUUAUUUCUACUAAGAUGGAAUAAAUCACAUUUGUUUUUAACCAGUUUCUAAGGAAGCGGGUGUUUCGAGUGAAUCACAAAUCAUCUGUUUAUAUUAUGAACUGAACUUCAUUGUGUCUUUUCAUACUGUACGCGACUUCACAGAAUUUCGCUAGUUUAACGUGUCGUACACUCUAUUUUCAACACACAAAGUUCAAAACAGGCAAACGGAGACAGUCGUUUCUUGUGGGUUAAACCAGGCCGCGGUCACGGGCCGGAACGGGGUGGUCUCCCGUGUUUAAGAUAAAACGAGAGAGAGAGAGAGAGGUGUGGUGAAAAGCCACACAGACCCUCGACAUUGAUAACCUGGACAUGAACUAGGAAGUGUGUGGAUGUUUUUACCGACUGGCGUAAAUCAUGGCGUUCGUAUUGGGACAGCCUGACGCUGCUUCUGCCCGCAAAAGUAUCGCGGUUAACGAGACUCGCGGCCCGGCGACGGCGUUCGAACCCGACGACGAUGACGACAUGUACAGCGUCUCGGAGUACUCCACGGUGGGGAGGUCGAGCAAGAAGGGCAACCACAACGACGCAGACCACUACUACAAGGCCACGCUGUCGAAAUCCACACUGCUGGAGCGACUGGAAUCCAUCACUAUGGACAACACGAUUCCGGGGAAAGAAAUUACGAUGAAGACUGAAAACGGACAAAUCAAGGAGGACACAUCCCCGGAGGGGUCCAACGACAACACAGGGGACCUUGGGGCGUUUCCGCCGGAACCGGAAGACGUGUAUGCGCCGAUGCCCUCGAGCUUCACGACGUUUGCGCAGACGCGGUUCCAGAUGAAGAUACCGCCCACGUACUGCUGUGCCGCCCUUCAGCAGCCGCUGUUACCGAAACAGGACAAGAGAGAUCAUCUGGCGUCUCUCUCAGCGUGGAUAAUGGUUUUGAGGAUUAUGGGAGAUUUACCGGAACCGGAUAUGAGUCAUAUUCUGCAGUUACCAGGGGACCACCCUCAGGUAAUAUCGAGAGUGAAGGAGGCUUUCAAAAAGCGAUACACGAAGAAAGAAAUUGAAGAAGCACAUAAAAACUAUUCUGAACUGUUUAAGAAUCCAAUGUCUGAGAUGACAGACUUGCCUUUUAUUAGCGAUGGUCGUGAGUCGAUGUUGGAGAAAGUCCAGUACGUGUGUGCCAUGGGAAUCUACAGAACUGACCUCAGGGAUGAGCUGUACUGCCAGCUGUGUAAACAGCUGACGAACAACCCGUCACGGAACAGCAUGAUGAGGGGCUGGGUUCUCAUGAUGCUGCUUGCAGGAUGUUUCACCCCGUCAGAGAAGUUUGCGCCAUGUUUUGAAACCUUUCUCCGAGAUGGACCUGCCGAGUAUGCGCAGAAGGUUGAUCGGAUCCUCAGACGAACAGGUCUCGUGGGCACGCGCAGUUUCCCGCCAAGCUGGCUAGAGUUUCAGGCUGCCAAGAACAGCAAGCCGAUCCUGAUACCGAUCACGUUCAUGAACAACGAUCGCCUGCUGCUGGAGGUGGACGCGGCCUCCACGGUGAAGGAACUGUGCUGGCAGAUCUGCGAGAUGGUGGACAUCAAGCAGAAACAGGGAUUCUCCGUCUACAUCUGUCUGCAGCAGAAGAUCUCCUGUCUUGGCCACGGCCUACACAGGAUCCUAGAUGCCAUAUCCGAGUGUGAGCAGCGCACCAGGGAGCUGGGAAUGAAGGAGAGCAGCGCCCUCUGGCGACUCUACUUCCGGAAGGAAUAUUUCACACCUUGGCACGACGCCAAGCUCGAUCCUGCUGGAACUGACGUCAUAUACCAGCAAAUCAUGCGCGGGAUAUCACUCGGCGAAUAUAAAUGCCAAAAUGAAGACAUGUACGUUCUCCUUGGAGCUCAGAAGUAUUAUUUAGAAUAUUCGGACCAAAUCGACGAGACCCAACUGGAUUUCCUUGCCAAGAACUGGUUCCCUAAGAUAUGGAUCGAGGAGUUUGGCUCGGGAUAUUUCGUGAAGAAGGUCAUGGACGCCGUGAAGACCAACUUCUCCAAAAAGCAGAGAAGCAAGGAGUCGAUCAAGAUGGACAUUGUGACGUUCGCUAUAGACAAGUGGUCGCUGUUGUUUUCCAGGUUCUAUGACGCGACCAAGUUCGUGGGGGCGGGCGUGGGUUGGGCAGAUAUCAUAAUAGGACUCAGUGGGAAGGGCAUGUGUGUGCUGGAUGAUGGUGACGCCAUUAGGAUACAGAUACCAUUCUAUGAGAUGUCAAAGGUCAAGAGAACGAGGCAGAGCGUGGUGCUGUCCACGUUUAAAGGGGAGGAAUACACGAUAACGACGCACCAUUCGGAAGACUUAAAUAGAAUCCUGUGUUCUUUUUUGUAUGGACUACGCAUGCGCUCUCGAUACGCAAUCGUCAUGCUCGAUUCCAAACAACUGGAAGCAGCAUCUGGCCUGAAUGUGGUGCGUGGGGACCUCAUUAUACUGGAUCAGCCGUACGAAGUGUUCAAACACAAGGACCUUUACAGAGGGGUGUGCAAGAGAACCGGCAAGUCAUGUGACAUACCACGUGACCUAGUCUACAUCAUCCAGACGGUGAAUGAACCCACCAUUGAUAUUCUGGGGAUGUUCGUGGUGCAAUUUCAGAAGGAUCUAGCGAGUUUCACGUCUGCUGACAAUGAACCCCCACACACGCUACAGGCAUACUCCCGACUACACUUCAGACAAGCUACGGAAAACCCUGUCUCCAAAUUAUUCAAGUCUUCGUUCAAGCGAGACAAGAACGAAACCACUUGGCAGUUCAGCAAGGAAAGUCUAAAGAAACCGCUGCUGAGAAGGACGAUAACCAGGGAGGAUCUCAAGAGCGUUGCCUGCCGCUGUUUUACUGCUAUCCAGCAGUUCAUGGGAGACGCUAGUUUGAAAGAGGAUAUCACAGAAAAACAACUGGUCACCGACUUCAUCAUAGAUCCCACGAGAAGGAACCGCUAUCUGAGAGAGGAAGUGUUCUGUCAGUUGAUGAAACAGUUGACGAACAAUCCCGACAGGUCGAGCGAGAUGCGAGGCUGGCAACUGAUGAUGGUUCUGUGUACGACGGGCAUCCCCACCAAUGAGCUGGUGGACGAGUUACAAAAGUUCUUCAGGACUCGCAAGGAUUCGCCGGCCGCCCACGAGUGUGUCAGUCGACUGGCCACGUGCAGCGAACAGGGUUGUCGGCAUUACUCUCCUCAAGACAUUGAAUUCGACAUGCUGGCGACCAAACAACCAACAAUCCGAAUUCAGAUCGUUAUACCUGACGGCACAAAGCAGACAGUCGAGGUUGGGGCGCUGACCCGGAUUAUCGACAUCAAACGUGAGGUGUGUAAGAGACUCGACCUCAGGACCUCGGAGGAAUUCAGUAUCGUGCUCUGUGUUAACAAAAAAAGUCCAUGCAUUGUCACCCAAGAGCUAUUACUUCGACUGUCUGGGCCACGCCGACAACUUCUGGAUACCAAGAAAACAUGGAUACUCGUCAGGUACUGAACCAGCAUUAGUGAUCCUGAAGAAAAUCUGGGUGAACUCCGAACCUGGGAUAGACAGUGUUGCGGAUAGCACAUUCCACUUCCCGCAGGAACUGCCGAAUUAUAUUCGAGGAUAUCACCACUGCAGCGUGGAGGAUGCCAUCAAACUGGCCGCUCUUGUGUACAGAUCAAGAUGUGGAAGCGAUAAGGGCGGGCUCUCUCAGUUUUC